GAGUUUGAUCUUGGCUCAGAUUGAACGCUGGCGGCAUGCCUUACACAUGCAAGUCGAACGGCAGCACGGGAGCUUGCUCCUGGUGGCGAGUGGCGAACGGGUGAGUAAUGCAUCGGAACGUAUCCUGGAGUGGGGGAUAACGUAGCGAAAGUUACGCUAAUACCGCAUAUUCUGUGAGCAGGAAAGCGGGGGGACCUUCGGGCCUCGCGCUCUUGGAGCGGCCGAUGUCGGAUUAGCUAGUUGGUGAGGUAAAGGCUCACCAAGGCGACGAUCCGUAGCAGGUCUGAGAGGAUGAUCUGCCACACUGGAACUGAGACACGGUCAGACUCCUACGGGAGGCAGCAGUGGGGAAUUUUGGACAAUGGGGGCAACCCUGAUCCAGCCAUGCCGCGUGAGUGAAGAAGGCCUCGGUUGUAAG
rnacentral:rRNA from 1 species